AUGGCUGGUGUGACCAUCUCUAGGGUUGGCGGUGCCCUUUCGCUGCACAAGACGUGGGCGGCAAGCCGCCCCAGGGCCACGCCGGUGGCUACAGCGGCAGAAAUUUUGGUCUGUCGCUCCCUCGGCAUCGUCAAGGAUGGUGAGGAUGUGACUGCUGCAACCUUUGAUGCCUUCGCGGAGCGCUUCAAAGAGCACCUGUCGUCGGAGGUGAUCACGGCCAUGAGGGGGCUUUUCAAGCUGGACGACGCGAAUGCGCAUGCUGUGGAGGAGGCCCUCCUGUCGCACGGUGGGGGUGGCGCGCUGGACCUGGAGAGGGCCGAUGAGGAGGCCGAGCUUCAGCAGGCUGCAACCUAA
rnacentral:rRNA from 1 species